rnacentral:rRNA from 1 species
GGGUUGUGAGGUUAAGCGACUAAGCGUACACGGUGGAUGCCCUGGCAGUCAGAGGCGAUGAAGGACGUGCUAAUCUGCGAAAAGCGUCGGUAAGGUGAUAUGAACCGUUAUAACCGGCGAUGUCCGAAUGGGGAAACCCAGUGUGAUUCGUCACACUAUCGUUAACUGAAUACAUAGGUUAACGAGGCGAACCGGGGGAACUGAAACAUCUAAGUACCCCGAGGAAAAGAAAUCAACCGAGAUUCCCCCAGUAGCGGCGAGCGAACGGGGAGCAGCCCAGAGUCUGAAUCAGCUUGUGUGUUAGUGGAACGGUCUGGAAAGUCCGACGGUACAGGGUGAUAGUCCCGUACACCAAAAUGCACAGGUUGUGAACUCGAAGAGUAGGGCGGGACACGUGGUAUCCUGUCUGAAUAUGGGGGGACCAUCCUCCAAGGCUAAAUACUCCUGACUGACCGAUAGUGAACCAGUACCGUGAGGGAAAGGCGAAAAGAACCCCGGCGAGGGGAGUGAAAAAGAACCUGAAACCGUGUACGUACAAGCAGUGGGAGCACCUUUAUGGUGUGACUGCGUACCUUUUGUAUAAUGGGUCAGCGACUUAUAUUCUGUAGCAAGGUUAACCGUAUAGGGGAGCCGCAGGGAAACCGAGUCUUAACUGGGCGUUAAGUUGCAGGGUAUAGACCCGAAACCCGGUGAUCUAGCCAUGGGCAGGUUGAAGGUUGGGUAACACUAACUGGAGGACCGAACCGACUAAUGUUGAAAAAUUAGCGGAUGACUUGUGGCUGGGGGUGAAAGGCCAAUCAAACCGGGAGAUAGCUGGUUCUCCCCGAAAGCUAUUUAGGUAGCGCCUCGUGAACUCAUCUUCGGGGGUAGAGCACUGUUUCGGCUAGGGGGUCAUCCCGACUUACCAACCCGAUGCAAACUACGAAUACCGAAGAAUGUUAUCACGGGAGACACACGGCGGGUGCUAACGUCCGUCGUGAAGAGGGAAACAACCCAGACCGCCAGCUAAGGUCCCAAAGUCAUGGUUAAGUGGGAAACGAUGUGGGAAGGCACAGACAGCCAGGAUGUUGGCUUAGAAGCAGCCAUCAUUUAAAGAAAGCGUAAUAGCUCACUGGUCGAGUCGGCCUGCGCGGAAGAUGUAACGGGGCUAAACCAUGCACCGAAGCUGCGGCAGCGACACUAUGUGUUGUUGGGUAGGGGAGCGUUCUGUAAGCCUGCGAAGGUGGCCUGUGAGGGUUGCUGGAGGUAUCAGAAGUGCGAAUGCUGACAUAAGUAACGAUAAAGCGGGUGAAAAGCCCGCUCGCCGGAAGACCAAGGGUUCCUGUCCAACGUUAAUCGGGGCAGGGUGAGUCGACCCCUAAGGCGAGGCCGAAAGGCGUAGUCGAUGGGAAACAGGUUAAUAUUCCUGUACUUGGUGUUACUGCGAAGGGGGGACGGAGAAGGCUAUGUUAGCCGGGCGACGGUUGUCCCGGUUUAAGCAUGUAGGCUGAUUAUCCAGGCAAAUCCGGAUAAUCAAGGCUGAGGUGUGAUGACGAGGCACUACGGUGCUGAAGUAACAAAUGCCCUGCUUCCAGGAAAAGCCUCUAAGCAUCAGGUAACAUCAAAUCGUACCCCAAACCGACACAGGUGGUCAGGUAGAGAAUACCAAGGCGCUUGAGAGAACUCGGGUGAAGGAACUAGGCAAAAUGGUGCCGUAACUUCGGGAGAAGGCACGCUGGUGUGUAGGUGAAGUCCCUGCGGAUGGAGCUGAGACCAGUCGAAGAUACCAGCUGGCUGCAACUGUUUAUUAAAAACACAGCACUGUGCAAACACGAAAGUGGACGUAUACGGUGUGACGCCUGCCCGGUGCCGGAAGGUUAAUUGAUGGGGUUAUCCGUAAGGAGAAGCUCUUGAUCGAAGCCCCGGUAAACGGCGGCCGUAACUAUAACGGUCCUAAGGUAGCGAAAUUCCUUGUCGGGUAAGUUCCGACCUGCACGAAUGGCGUAAUGAUGGCCAGGCUGUCUCCACCCGAGACUCAGUGAAAUUGAACUCGCUGUGAAGAUGCAGUGUACCCGCGGCAAGACGGAAAGACCCCGUGAACCUUUACUAUAGCUUGACACUGAACAUUGAGCCUUGAUGUGUAGGAUAGGUGGGAGGCUUUGAAGCGUGGACGCCAGUCUGCGUGGAGCCAACCUUGAAAUACCACCCUUUAAUGUUUGAUGUUCUAACGUUGGCCCCUAAUCGGGGUUGCGGACAGUGUCUGGUGGGUAGUUUGACUGGGGCGGUCUCCUCCCAAAGCGUAACGGAGGAGCACGAAGGUUAGCUAAUCCUGGUCGGACAUCAGGAGGUUAGUGCAAUGGCAUAAGCUAGCUUGACUGCGAGCGUGACGGCGCGAGCAGGUGCGAAAGCAGGUCAUAGUGAUCCGGUGGUUCUGAAUGGAAGGGCCAUCGCUCAACGGAUAAAAGGUACUCCGGGGAUAACAGGCUGAUACCGCCCAAGAGUUCAUAUCGACGGCGGUGUUUGGCACCUCGAUGUCGGCUCAUCACAUCCUGGGGCUGAAGUAGGUCCCAAGGGUAUGGCUGUUCGCCAUUUAAAGUGGUACGCGAGCUGGGUUUAGAACGUCGUGAGACAGUUCGGUCCCUAUCUGCCGUGGGCGCUGGAGAAUUGAGGGGGGCUGCUCCUAGUACGAGAGGACCGGAGUGGACGCAUCACUGGUGUUCGGGUUGUCAUGCCAAUGGCACUGCCCGGUAGCUAAAUGCGGAAGAGAUAAGUGCUGAAAGCAUCUAAGCACGAAACUUGCCCCGAGAUGAGUUCUCCCUGAGACUUUAAGUCUCCUGAAGGAACGUUAAAGACGAUGACGUUGAUAGGCCGGGUGUGUAAGCGCAGCGAUGCGUUGAGCUAACCGGUACUAAUGAACCGUGAGGCUUAACCUUACAACGCCGAAG